UCUGUAGAGCUUGCAAAGGAGGUGCUCAGGUUCCAGUUUUACAAGCCUUAGUUCACUACCUACGUCCAGGACCUAUGAGAAGUUGAAGACUCCCGGGUGUUUGACUCAUCCUUGAGAAAUUAAGGCCCACGGUACUGGCCGGAGCAGUGUACCUACAGCAGAGCAAUGAGAAAUGCAUGUCCACAGAUGCAAGGAUGAACAAAUGUUUCUCUGGACCAAAUGUGGUCUAUGAAGAAGGACCAGGCGCCUGGGUUAAAUUUUUGUCUGCUUAAGAGGACUACUUGGGAGAGAGAGGGGACCCCAAACAAAAAGAAUCUGUGUAGAAUGAACCACCAAGUACCCAGAGGCUACAAGUGAAUACCUUUGUCGGCCUGUGAGUGCCAGGCCAGCUCCUGACUGUUUUUCUCUUUUUCAAGAGGUAAGACUCAUGAAGUUGCAAAGGACAUAAAACCCCAACCGAACUGAACUAAGCAAAAAGGACCACGUCUUAUUUCUAACAAAAAUCAUCCACCAAAGACGAAAAAAUAUCAGUGAUUUUGAAAACAUCCUUGCUACUGCUGUGUUGAAGAAAAAAAAUGUGUCUCAUUAAGGCAUCUUUGACUGGCAUUUUUCACGAAA